UACGUAGGUGGCGAGCGUUAUCCGGAUUUACUGGGUGUAAAGGGUGUGUAGGCGGGUCUGCAAGUCAGAUGUGAAAUGCUACGGCUUAACUGUAGCACUGCAUCAGAAACUGCAGAUCUUGAGAGUGGGAGAGGUAAGCGGAAUUCCUGGUGUAGCGGUGAAAUGCGUAGAUAUCAGGAGGAACACCGGUGGCGAAGGCGGCUUACUGGACCACAACUGACGCUGAGACACGAAAGCGUGGGGAGCAAAC
rnacentral:rRNA from 1 species